AUAACACUCCAAAUAAAUGACAUACAUUAGAUACAAAACAAAUUAACUAAUCAGUAGCAUAGUAAUCAAUUGAAUAACAACAAAACAAAAUCGCCAGUGGAAAUAAAAUCUAAAUUGAUCAAAAGUUACUUGAAUUGAAGAGGAUCGGAGGAUUGGAUUGGAGUGAAGAGGGGAAAGAGGUGUAUUUGAUAUCUGUAUUCAAAAUCGCCAGUCGGACACAAAGGAGAAAUCGCCAGUCGGACACAAAGGAGGGUUUGGUUUAUAGGAUUCGCUCGAAAUUGAAAUCGCCAGUGGGUUUGGUUUUCGCAGCAGGAGGGAGGCUUUACAAAUUAUCUGAAUUGAAGGAUGAGGGAGGCUUUACACAUUAUCGCAGCAGAGGAUGAGGGAUUCGUUCGAAGAAGAAAUAGCAUCAGGGUUUGGUAUCGCAGAUGAUGGAGGCUUUACACAUUAUCGCAUCAUUUUCUUCGCAUCAGCAGUGAAAUAGGAGGAUUUAAUUGAAGAAGAAAUCGCAGGUGGGUUGAUGGAGGAAGAAAUCGCAGGGCGGGGGGGUUUGUG
rnacentral:lncRNA from 1 species